UUCGACAAAAAAAUAGUCGGCAUGACAAAUAUUUAUAUACAAUGAGUGCCUGGAGUGUUCUUAGCUUAAAGAAAAUAACAGACAUGUUUAAACAAGACUACUUUUUAAGAUGUCGAUUUUGUAUAGAAUGAAAAUAUUUCUAGAUUUCAGACUUCACAUUGACCCUCCAAACAGAUGUAGAACUAAAUAACAAGCUAUAGAGGAAAUUUUUCCAAAUAAA
rnacentral:lncRNA from 1 species